ensembl:lncRNA
ACAAUCCACCGCACCUGCAAGCAGUGAGUGUGCUCUGUGCGUGCAGGGACAGCCAGGCUGAGGGUGUCCAGCCCAGCACAGCCCUGGGAGCAGCAGUGCAGCCCCACACACACGGCAGGGCACACCAAACCCGCUCCUGGCUCUGGCAGGGCUGCACAAGCCUUCCUGCAGACCUGCCUGAAACUGAGGCCUGGGGCGCGGCUGACGUUUUUGGAAAGAGUUCAGGAAUUCUGAAGGAUAGAACCUCAAAACAGAGGGCAAAAGCCUGACUUUGGAAAUGAAUACACCCUGGAAGCACGAGUGCCUGAAGCCCAGCCAGACAGAGCCAGCUGACAUCUGAAGAGCUCUGGAGCUGGCAGAUGCUCUCUCUCAGAGCUGGCUGCGUCCAGCACCCAUCCAAAGGUGCAAUCCCAUCACCUCCCCCUGGAGCUCCCCACGGCCAGCUGGGCAACAAGGAAAGACAGAUGCCCUACAGAAGGAUGUGCUUCUCUGGGAAUGGAGCCCCACUCAGAGGAAAAUCCCUGCGACUGGGUCAUGUAACAAGAGGUCUAAAAACCCUCCUGGAAACAGCUGACAGCUCCUGGCUUUAGAAUCCUAACAGUCUGCUAAUGUAAAGAUCUGACAGCUUCACAUUGAAGCCACAUUAUAAUAAGGCUGGAAUCCUUUACCUGUUGGGAAUGUAGGACUUGUGCUUGCUCCUGCUUUAAUCAGGAAAAAAUAAAAAAUCAACUCACCACCA